UACGGAGGGUGCGAGCGUUGUCCGGAAUCAUUGGGCGUAAAGAGCGCGUAGGCGGCCCUGUAAGUCCGCUGUGAAAGUCAAGGGCUCAACCCUUGAAUGCCGGUGGAUACUGCAGGGCUAGAGUCCGGAAGAGGCGAGUGGAAUUCCUGGUGUAGCGGUGAAAUGCGCAGAUAUCAGGAGGAACACCGAUGGCGAAGGCAGCUCGCUGGGACGGUACUGACGCUGGAGACGCGAAAGCGUGGGGAGCGAACAGG
rnacentral:rRNA from 1 species